AAGAAAGUAGGGUAUGGUCGCAAAUGCAAAACUAAAACAUGAUGUUGAUCAUCUGUAACGGCCCAAUCCUACCGCUAGCAGAUAUUAUUCUCUUUGAGAUUUCCCUUCCGGACUUCCCAUCAAGAUUUUAAAACGCGUCUUCUAGGGAGAGGGGUCCCCACAAGGUUUU